AGCGAACGCUGGCGGCAGGCCUAACACAUGCAAGUCGAGCGCCCAGCAAUGGGAGCGGCAGACGGGUGAGUAACGCGUGGGGAUCUGCCCGAUGGUACGGAAUAAUUCCGGGAAACUGGGACUAAUACCGUAUGUGCCCGUAAGGGGAAAGAUUUAUCGCCAUCGGAUGAACCCGCGUCGGAUUAGCUAGUUGGUGUGGUAAAGGCGCACCAAGGCGACGAUCCGUAGCUGGUCUGAGAGGAUGAUCAGCCACACUGGGACUGAGACACGGCCCAGACUCCUACGGGAGGCAGCAGUGGGGAAUAUUGGACAAUGGGCGCAAGCCUGAUCCAGCCAUGCCGCGUGAGUGAUGAAGGCCUUAGGGUUGUAAAGCUCUUUCGCCGGUGAAGAUAAUGACGGUAACCGGAGAAGAAGCCCCGGCUAACUUCGUGCCAGCCGCCGCCGUAA
rnacentral:rRNA from 1 species